rnacentral:rRNA from 1 species
GACGAACGCUGGCGGCGUGCUUAACACAUGCAAGUCGAACGGAAAGGCCCCUUUGGGGGUACUCGAGUGGCGAACGGGUGAGUAACACGUGAGUAACCUGCCCUUGACUUCGGGAUAACUUCAGGAAACUGGGGCUAAUACCGGAUAGGAAUCCUUGCUGCAUGGUGGGGGUUGGAAAGCUUCGGCGGUUUUGGAUGGACUCGCGGCUUAUCAGCUUGUUGGUGGGGUAGUGGCUUACCAAGGCUUUGACGGGUAGCCGGCCUGAGAGGGCGACCGGCCACAGUGGGACUGAGAGACGGCCCAGACUCCUACGGGAGGCAGCAGUGGGGAAUAUUGCACAAUGGGCGGAAGCCUGAUGCAGCAACGCCGCGGGCGGGAUGACGGCCUUCGGGUUGUAAACCGCUUUCAGCAGGGGCGAAGCUUGUGGUGACGGUACCUGCAGAAGAAGCACCGGCUAACUACGUG